rnacentral:rRNA from 1 species
UACGUAGGGACCAAGCGUUGUUCGGAUUUACUGGGCGUAAAGGGCGCGUAGGCGGCGUGACAAGUCACUUGUGAAAUCUCCGGGCUUAACUCGGAACGGUCAAGUGAUACUGUUGUGCUAGAGUACAGAAGGGGCAAUCGGAAUUCUUGGUGUAGCGGUGAAAUGCGUAGAUAUCAAGAGGAACACCAGAGGCGAAGGCGGAUUGCUAGGCUGAUACUGACGCUGAGGCGCGAAAGCUAGGGUAGCAAACGGGAUUAGAUACCCCGGUAGUCCUAGCCCUAAACGAUGAAUACUUGGUGUCUGGAGUUUAAUUCUCUGGGUGCCGUCGCUAACGUUUUUAGUAUUCCGCCUGGGGAGUACGCACGCAAGUGUG